ensembl:misc_RNA 7SK 7SK RNA
GGAUGUGAGAGUGAUCUGGUGGUGACAUGUGUCAUCCCAUUGACCGCCAGGGUUGAGUCAGCUGAUCUGGCUGGCUAGGCGGGUGUCCCCUUCCUCCCUCACCGCUCCAUGUGCAUCCCUCCCAAAGCUGCGUGCUCUGUGGAAGAGGAUGACCACCCCCGAUAGAGGAGGAUCGUUUCCUUGGUCAAGGGUAUGGGAGUAGCUGCACUCCCCUGCUAGAACCUCCAACCAAUCUCUCAAGGUUAUAAAACCAUAACAUACGAAAUUGGAGAAAAUAGUUGCAAGUAACAUGGUGAAUAAGGACUGGCACUGACUAUUUGAAGUAGUCACAACU